GAUUCUGGGCGUAAGCGUGCGUAGGCGGUUCGUUAAGUCAGAUGUGAAAGCCCUGGGCUCAACCUGGGAACGGCAUUUGAAACUGGCGGACUAGAGUUUAGUAGAGGGGAGUGGAAUUUCAGGUGUAGCGGUGAAAUGCGUAGAUAUCUGAAGGAACACCAGUGGCGAAGGCGACUCCCUGGACUAGAACUGACGCUGAGGUACGAAAGCGUGGGUAGCAAACAGGAUUAGAUACCCUGGUAGUCCACGCUGUAAACGAUGUCAACUAGCCGUUGGUCCUAUUUACAGGAUUAGUGGCGCAGCUAACGCAUUAAGUUGACCGCCUGGGGAGUACGGCCGCAAGGUUAAAACUCAAAUGAAUUGACGGGGGCCCGCACAAGCGGUGGAGCAUGUGGUUUAAUUCGAUGCAACGCGAAGAACCUUACCUACCCUUGACAUCCAUAGAAUCA
rnacentral:rRNA from 1 species